rnacentral:lncRNA from 1 species
AAUCGUUAUGAACUUAUAUGCACAAGUAGUGAAGGUUGCUAGUCACAAUCACGUUAAGUAAAUUCUUGGCAUAAGUUUCAUGCAAAUCAUAGUAACGAGUACCUCGUCAAUGCUUAUGUUUUUCAUAGAACUUAAUGAUUCUUGCUUGUAUCUCUAUUAUGCAAUUCAUGUAGGGAACUUGUAGGGAAUGUUUUGGGUUGUCGUAUGCAAUCAUCCAACCUAAUAACUUGUGGAAAAACUGAGGGUUAAUUAGUGCAAUUCACGGUUAAUUUGGGGCAUUGAGUAUUCAUAGUUUAUCGAAAAGCAACUGGAAAUCGUUUUGUAUGCAAGUGUGACAUGUGUGGAGAAGAACCUCCUAGCUAGCCUUCCAUCCAUAAGUUAAAUUCAAAUUCAUUUACAAUCUGUUUUGAUUCACCCAAAUUUGUCUAAGAAUCUGUUUACUUUGUUCUUGUCUUAA